rnacentral:rRNA from 1 species
AGAACGAACGCUGGCGGCAGGCUUAACACAUGCAAGUCGAACGGUUGUAGCAAUACAGCAGUGGCGCACGGGUGAGUAACGCGUGGGAACAUACCUUUCAGUUCGGAAUAACAGCGGGAAACUGCUGCUAAUACCGGAUAUUCUCUCCGGAGGAAAGAUUUAUCGCUGAAAGAUUGGCCCGCGUCAGAUUAGCUAGUUGGUGGGGUAAUGGCCUACCAAGGCUCCGAUCUGUAGCUGGUCUGAGAGGACGACCAGCCACACUGGAACUGAGACACGGUCCAGACUCCUACGGGAGGCAGCAGUGGGGAAUAUUGGACAAUGGGCGAAAGCCUGAUCCAGCCAUGCCGCGUGAAUGAUGAAGGCCUUAGGGUUGUAAAGUUCUUUUGUCAGGGAAGAUAAUGACGGUACCUGAAGAAUAAGCACCGGCUAACUUCGCGCCAGCAGCCGC